AGGAGGGAGAGAAACAUCAGUGUGUGGUUCCCUCUCAUGUGCCCCGCACUGAAGACCCGACCUGCAAUCCAGGCAUGUACUCUGACCGAACUGGCAACCCUGUGGUUCACAGGCCAGCACUCAAUCCACUGAGCCACAACAGCCAGGGCAAAAAACAAGUAUCUAAACAUAAAAAAAAAUAAAUAAAUAAUUGAAUUAAAAAAUUAAAAUGAAAGAAUUUUUCCUGAAAGUUUAGGCCAAAAACAUGGGUGCCCACUCUACUUGGGAGUGUAUCAACAUGGCAAAAUACAGUCCCCCGCCUCCAUUGAAUGUUUGCAUAAUUGCUUAGACUAUUCUGGAUCCAAGGUGGCAGGGAGGCGGAAAGUGUCGAAGAUCUGACAACUGAUUCUACCUUUCAAAACAAAUAGAUGUUCCCUGGUGGGCAGAACACAGAUACAGCACGCUGAGAACAGAGCAGUAACUGAUGUUCAUUUCCUGCAGUGAGAGCAGUAAAACCGCCUGAACAAGCCUUAGAAAAUCCUUCACAUGAAAACAGCUGAGUAGCAGAGGCUCCAGCAGAAGUUUUCCGUGACUGAUGGAACUUAACUGAAGGUCCGCCUUGUCAACCUCAGGGUCUACCCUCAAGACUGGGGUUCUUCAAACUUCGUCCUGGCUUGUUUCCCUGCUGGGAAUCUGAGAUCUUAGAACAAACUGGACCAUCCAGAUGGAAUGUUUGGUGUGUUUUGGCACAACAGGAUCUGAGGAUGGAGUUAUAUGAUGCUGACUGAU